GACCCGAUAGCUCAGUCGGUAGAGCAACGGACUUUUAAUCCGUAGGUCGUGGGUUCGAGUCCCACUCGGGUCA
rnacentral:tRNA from 1 species